rnacentral:rRNA from 1 species
GACGAAGGAUGCAAGCGUUAUCCGGAUUUAUUGGGUUUAAAGGGAGCGUAGGUGGCCUUAUAAGUCAGUGGUGAAAGACUGUCGCUUAACGACGGAAUUGCCAUUGAUACUGUAGGGCUUGAGUAUAGUUGCUGUGGGCGGAAUAUGACAUGUAGUGGUGAAAUACUUAGAGAUGUCAUAGAACACCGAUUGCGAAGGCAGCUCACAAAACUAUAACUGACACUGAGGCUCGAAAGUGCGGGGAUCAAACGGG